UACGUAGGGUGCAAGCGUUAAUCGGAAUUACUGGGCGUAAAGCGUGCGCAGGCGGUUUUGUAAGGCUGUCGUGAAAUCCCCGGGCUCAACCUGGGAAUGGCCAUGGAAACUGGCGAACUGGAGUGUGGCAGAGGGGGGUGGAAUUCCGCGUGUAGCAGUGAAAUGCGUAGAGAUGCGGAGGAACACCGAUGGCGAAGGCAGCCCCCUGGGCUAGCACUGACGCUCAGGCACGAAAGCGUGGGGAGCAAACAGG
rnacentral:rRNA from 1 species